AUACCGCGGAAUACAAUUAUCCGUUGCCAAACUUCUCCCGGAGAGUAGCUGAAGUAUUAAAAUCCAAUGGCGAUUCUUCUUCCUCUUCUCUCCAUAUCCCCAAAGGUAAUGGCUUCCUCCGUCGACACAAGCCAAAGACUUCCUUAUACCCCCCACCGUACUCCUCCCAAGAAACCCCUAACCUCUGAUUCAACUCUAUCAUUUUCCCCUUCCACCACCCGGUCCAAUAUUUCGGUUUCGGACCUUCUUAAACGUGAAAUUCCUAAACCAACCCAAGUGAAAGAGGAUGAAACCUAUAUGGGGUACGACAUAUGGUUACCAAGUGCACGCAAAGUUGAGAAGCCUCGGUCCGUGUUUAAUGCAGCCUCGCUUGCUUACAUUGGAGAUUGCAUCUUUGAGCUAUAUGCAAGAAGGCAUUUUUUGUUCCCACCAUUGAGCAUCGAAGAGUACAAUGAUAGAGUCAUGGCAAUAGUACGUUGCGAGGCACAAGAUGCUAUGUUGCAGAAACUCAUAAAUGACAAUAUUUUGUCAGAAGAAGAAAGGGGUGUGCUUCGUUGGGGGAAAAAUAUUGUUUCAGGUAAAACUCGGACGAAAAAGCGUGCUGGUGUAGCUGUUUACAACCGAGCGUCUUCACUUGAAACACUUGUUGGUUAUCUUUACCUUACAAAUGUGCAAAGGCUUGACGUAAUCAUGCUGAAGUUGGGCUUCUGUAUAGGUGACUCUAACCUGCCAAUUGUGGAGAGAAUAGAGGAAAAUGACAGGGAAUACUUGAAGUUUGGAAGAACAUUUUCAUUCUACUGACGAGUCACUUCUUGCUACACUAAUGGCAUAACCCGCUAGUAUGAAGUUUAAGACUACUUGAGACCAUGGGAAUGAAGCUUGAUUCUGGUGCAAUUAUUCACGUGUCCAAUGUCCACUACGGUGCAAGGAUUCAUUAUGAUCCCAAGCAAUACCCCAAAUGGGAAAUUCUUGUUUAUGUAAAAUUAUAUGAAGCUUCCAACGGAAGGAAUAUGGAUUUACCAUUUGAUCUUAGACAUUGGACAUCACAUUGAUUUAUUAUGCUCUCUCUGUGUUCCUUCAAUUUCUAGGAUAUUGGUUUUCUUUUUAAAGAUUUGGUAUUUUGGAGUUUAGUUUAAUUUUGGACAUAAAUGUUUUCGCAUAUAUAAGAAUGAAUGUUGUUCUUUUAUGUCUCUGAUGUUUCUAUUGAUGGUUUAUAUAAAUUGAAACUUCAUAAUGUAUUUUUCAAACCUCAUCAUAAUAUUGGAAUUAAAGUAGUUUACUAGACGGAAAUUCUGCAUACGUGUGGCAUAGACUUUUGGGUCAUAUAUCCGAAUAAAGGUUGGAAUGAUCAAUUAUGGAAGAGAUUCUUUUAAAUUUAGGUUGUAACGAUCUUGAUAUAUGUUUUGAUUGCAUCAAGAGAAAGCAAACCAAAAAUAAUGAAGCAGGUGCAGCAAGAAGUAGCUAGCUUCUUCAAACUAUACACAUUGAUAUGUGCUUUGAUGUUUCUAUCUUUUGGUGGAAAAAAUAUUUUAUCACCUUUUUUUGUUUAUUUUCUACGUAUGGAUAUUCCUAUUUGUUGGGAAAAAAAUCUCAAGCAAACGAGGAAUUACUCAUCGUGCUCCUAACCAUGUCCAUAAGUGUCCGGUUAAAGGCAUCCCUGGCACAAUAUAGUGUGCACAUAUGACAUGUCCUUCAAGAGACUUUGCAAGCAGACCUAGACAUUGCUCUGAUACAUUAUGAGUUUCGUAAUAUUCAGCAUCUCUGUCUAACCUAAUGAGUUUCUAGUUGCUUUUUAUCCUCAUUUACUUACACCUUGUGAGCGUCCGUUAUUCGAGAUUUUUCUUCAACAAAUAAGCAUAUAUCCAUAACGUGAAAAAUCAUCAAUAAAGGUGAUAGAAAAAUUCCCCACCAAAAGAUAAAACAUUAAAGUGUCGGCAUAUAUCGAUGGGUAUAGUUUCAAGAAGUUGGCAACUGUUUGUAGUCCCUCUCUCAUGAUGUUUGGUUUGAUCUUCAUUAAUACAAUCCAAACAUAUAUUAAGAUCGCUAGAACUUAUAUUUGGAAGAAUUUCAUUCUUUACUAAUCAUUUUAACAUUCCUUUGGGUAUAUGACCUAAACGUCUGGUCCUUUGGUCCCAUAAGUAAACGGACUCGGACACAUGAUUUGAUGGUCCUGGAGGGUCCGUGGAAAAAUAUGGGACUUGGGCAUAUGCCCGGAAUCAAAUUCCGAGGUCCCGAGCCUCAGAACUUUCAUCCCCCAAUCCAACAUUACAAUGAACAGGAAGAAGAGAUUCAGAAAACACAUUUUAAUAUAAAUUAUCAAUAAGAAUACCAAAGCUAUAAAGAAUAAGGUACACCAACAAUAACAAACCCAGUAAAAUCCCACACGUGGGGUAUGGGGAGGGUAAUGUGUACGCAUACCUUACCCCUACCUUAUGAAGGAAGAGAUGUUGUUUCCGAUAGACCCUCGACUCAAGAACAAUGAAAAGGACAUAAUAAACAAGCAAUAAUAAUGGCACGAAAAUAAGAUAACAAAAACAAAUAGCACAACAUGUAAUAGCAAAUAUCUAGGAAUACGAAGCUAUAAGAAGUGCAGAAACUACCGGCAAUAAUGCCACAUCGUCUAACAACAAGGAAGUUGGAAUAGGAGAAUACAAGACUAGUACUAAUACUACUAGUACGACUAGAAGAGACUCUCGAUUGCCUGUCAACCCGCAAUUCUAAUUCUCGACUUCGACACCUUCUUAUCGAGGGUCACGUCCUCGAUAAGCUGAAGCAGUGUCAUGUCCUGCCUAAUCACCUCCCCAGUACUUCGUAGGCCUCCCUCUACCUUUCCUUUGACCUGCCAUGAUCAACUUCUUACAUCUCCUCAUCGGGGCAUCAGUGUCUUUCAUUUUCACAUGCCCGAACCAUCUCAACCUCGAUUCCCGCAACUUGUCUUCCACAGGAGUCACACCCACCUUGUCCUUAAUAACUUCAUUCCUAAUCCACUCUUUCGUGGUAUGCCCACUCAUCUAUCGCAACAUCCUCAUCUCUGCUACUUUCAUCUUCUGGACAUGAGAUUUCUUGACUGACCAACACUCGGCUCCAUACAACAUAGGUUGUAGUCGGCCUAACUAGUAACUACCACUUUGUAGAACUUGACCUUAAGUCCUGGUGGCACAUUUCUACCACACAAAACACCAUACACAAGCCUCCAUUUCAUCUACCCCGCUCCAAUACGAUGCGUAACAUCCUCGUCAAUCUUCCCGUUCCACUGAAUAACAGGACCAAGAUAUUUGAAACUAUCUCUCUUGGGAAUGACUUCUGUAUCAAGCUUCACCUCCGCUUCUGUUUCCUGCGUCCCCACACUGAACUUGCACUCCAAGUAUUCGGUUUUUGUCCUAGUCAACUUGAAACCUUUAGACUCCAGGGUCUGCCUCCACAGCUCUAGCCGAUCGUGUAACCUCGCAACGCGUCUCAUCGAUUAGCACUAUGUCAUCUGUAAAUAACAUACACCACGACAUCUCCCCUGAAUGUGGCACGUCAGCACGUUCAUCACCAGAGCAAAUAAAAAUGGGCUAAGAGCCGAACCCUGAUGUAAUCCCAUCAUCACAGGAAAAUAAUGCGAGUCUCCUCCCACAGUCCUCACCCAAGUUUUCGCUCUAUCGUAAAUAUCCUUAAUCACUCUAAUGUACGCUACCAGAACACCACUAACCUCCAGACAUCUCUAUAGAACCUCCCUUGGGACUUUAUCGUAAGCUUUUUCAAAUCCAUGGCCAACUUAAAACUAAACCAGGAAGCAUCAAGUCGUUGUGAGAGAAACCAAAGUUAUAAAAACUGAGCGAAUAUAAAGAGUUUGUAAUAGAUCAACAUAAUAUCUAGUAUCUAAGAUUAAGUAGUAAGUUCCUUGUGUUUUCAAUUGGAACCUUUAUGCGAUUUCCUCAAAAAAAAGAAAUCAUCAUUUGGGUUUGUGAUUUGGAUCAUAAUGAAUCCUUACAA